rnacentral:tmRNA from 1 species
GGGGCAUUACUGGUUUCGACAGGGUAACGAAAGCUUCUUUGUGAUGCAGGUCGAGAGUGAGUUGUCUCUCGUAUAAUCUCCAGCUCAGAAAAAUAAGUGCAAAUAACAUUGUCGCUUUUGCUCGUCCUCGCGUAGCUGUAGCUGCCUAGGAAAAAAACCUCUUUCAGGUUACGAGCAUUUGUGGUUCGACUCCGUUAAGGACUGCAGAUUAAACCCCAACGGAUUGGUGAGUAUUGUGCCUCUGGUCGCAUAACUCAUGAGAACUUCACCAGAGUCCCUUGUUAGUCAGGGUAAUGGCUAACUCCCGCUCUACGGAUCAAAAGAGCUAAACCUGUGAAUGAGCGAAGGGUCAAUACUUAUUCUGGACAUGGGUUCGAUUCCCAUAUGCUCCAUUA